rnacentral:rRNA from 1 species
UACGUAGGGGGCAAGCGUUGUCCGGAAUUAUUGGGCGUAAAGGGCGCGUAGGCGAUUUGAAAAGUCUUGUGUGAAAGCCCCGAGCUUAACUCGGGAAGUGCACAAGAAACUGUUGAAUUUGAGUUCCGGAGAGGAAGGCAGAAUUCCCGGUGUAGCGGUGAAAUGCGUAGAUAUCGGGAGGAAUACCAGUGGCGAAGGCGGCCUUCUGGACGGAUACUGACGCUGAGGCGCGAAAGCCAGGGGAGCAAACGGG